rnacentral:lncRNA from 1 species
UUUUUUUUUUAAUCAUGAAGAUUCAGUGUGUCCUACAAGUGAAUGUUUGAGUCAUUCUGAAUUAAACUGGGAGAAUAUGAUGAUUAUCUCUAGUUUGGUGUGCCUAAUCUAUCUUUUCUUUUGGGGAACUCCUACUGCAUUCCCUUGGCUCUUGACGGUUGUCAGUUACAGCACUCCAUUUCACUCCUCUCUUUCCCCUCAGAGAACAGAGAUGACCACAUGACCAGGAAUGUUAGUAAACAUUUUCUCCUCUACGUGGAUGAAAACCUGCCUUCAGUAGAAGAGAUUGAGACAGGCAGCUGUGAGAGAGAGCAUGAGGACAUUGCCUGAGUUCCUGGAUUCAUCUGUCCCUGAAGCUGGACUAUGCCCCAGACUUCCAAGCUGAAAAAACCAGUAUAGUCCUGAGCUUUCAUUGCUUAUACUUAUUCAAGUUGGGUUUCUGUAGCUCAAAGUGUCCUGGCUAAUAUAGGAACUUCUGCAAAAUGCACAAACUUGGCCUCCAAGUCUGGAGUUUCUGAUGUGGUAGGUAUGAAAUGUAGCUGAAGCAUGUGCAUUCUUUUUAAGCUUCUCUAAGCUCUAUAUCCUGGCUCAAAUUGAGAACCAUUGCUUUUUUUUUUUUUUUUUUUUUUCUUUUUGGAUUUCAAAUUCACAGGACAAAUUUGGUCAUAUUCAGUUCAUGGUAUGUUAUCAUUAUUGGUUCAUGCAAUGUCAACAUUCCUCUCUUAUUUUGCUAACUAUAUUUUAUUGCCAUACUCCACCUCCCUGAAGACCACAAUUCUAGUAUAUUUAAUGAAUAACUUUUUUAUGUGUUUUUGUAAAAUAUGUUUUGUUGUUUUCUGUGCAUGUCUUUCUCAGUUAUAAAAACAGCACUUUGUUAUAUAGUUCAGUCUGUUUUUACUUUUAAAAAAUUAAUAUUUAUAUUUUAGUGCAGUUUUAGGUUUAUAGAAAAAUUGAGCAGAAAGCACAGAAGGAUCCUAUAUAAUAUACCACCCUGGCCCUCUGGCAAUUUUCCUUAUUGUUAACAUCUUGGAUUAGUAUGGUGAAUUUGUUAUAGUUGAUAAACCUAUAUUGAUGAAUUAUUAUUAACUAAAGUCCAUAGUUUACAUUAGGGCUCACUGUGUUAUUUAGUUCUAUGGGUUUUGACAAAUGUAUAUCUUGUAUUUACCAUCACAGUUUCAUACAGAGUAGUUUCACAGCCCUAAAAUUCCCCUUUUGUUCCACUUUUUCAUCUCUCUUCCCCCUUCUAAAGCCCUGACAACCACUAACCUUUUUAUUGUCUCCAUAGUUUUGCCUUUUCCAGAAUGUUGUAUACAGUUAAGUCCUCACCUAAUGUUGUCAAGAGGCUCUUGGAAACUGUGACUUUAAGCAAAAUGACCUAUACCAAAACCAGUUUUACCAUAGGGUAAUUGAUAUUUACAAGAGUUAAGUUCCUAAGGCAUAUUUCUGGUCACAAAAAAAAAAAAUCACUAAACUUCUAAAUAAAGACUCCAAACACUUCUAAUAUUAAACAUAGAAAUAAAUGUGAGCUACACAUACACUUAAGACAGAGUAAUAAAAACAAGUAAGAUAAUUAUUUAUCCAAUUUUUGGUGAAUCAAUGAGUGAUGGCAGUCAUAGUGGUCAUGGGCUAAAUUAAAUAAUUUUGCAAAGCAAAAAUUGUAAGGAGCACCUCCUGUCAUCACACAGUUCAAAAACAAACAACAGCAAAAAUGACAGCUCGCUGAGAGCUUUUGUCUUGAAUCAUUUAUUGUUGUGCAUUUGUGUAAUUAUUGUAUACUUUACAAAUUUUUAUUUUACAAUAAUUUGCAUUCAUUCAUUCAUUCAUUCAUUCAUUCAUUUACUUUCCAGCCCACUCAUUCCAGUUCAGGGUUGCAGGUAGCCAGGACUUAUCCCAGCAGCUCAGGGCACAAGGCAGGAGCCCAUGCUGGACAGAACUCUAUCUCAUUGCAGGGCACACUCACACUCAUACCCAUACUCACUCAGAUUGGGACCAUUUAGACACAACAUUUCACCUAAUGCGCAUGUCUUUGGAAUGUGAGGGGAAACGAGAGUACAUGGAGAAAAGCCACUCAGACAUGGGGAAGCCUUGCAAACUCCACAUGGACAGUGGCCUAGGCCAGGAAUCAAUUUUUUUUUCUCAUCAACAUUGUAGCCAAACGUCUUUGAAUGAAAUGAUGUAAUUAGAGGACCUGCUGUAAUUGGAAUCAUAUCGUAUGUCAUUCUUUUAGAUUGGCUUCUUUCACUUAGCAAUGUACGUUUAAGAUUCUUCCAUAUAUUUGCAUGGCUUGUUAGCUCAUUUCUUUUUAUCACUGAGUAAUAUAUUAUUGUGUGGAUGUACCACAAUUUGUUUAUCCAUUCACCUAUUCAAGGAUAUUUCCAUUGAUUCCAAGUUUUGGCAAUUAUAAAUAAAGUUACUAUAAACAUUUGUGUGCAGGUUUUUUGUAGGAACAUAAGUUUUCAACUCACUUGGGUAAAUAUCAAGGCGUGCUAUUGC